rnacentral:lncRNA from 13 species
AGGAUGUCAUUAAUGUCACAAAUGACGUAAUGUUAUUACAAUUAUACCGAGAAAAACAUCGUAGGACAAACAUCGCAACAUUAACAUUAGCUAGUGAAAUAAUGAAGAAAAAAAGGAAUGAUUUGGAGACAAGUUGCCAACUAACGGCCACACCAUCUGGUACGUCAAUCUAAUUAAAAAAAGAUUCAAACAAAUGUCUUACAGUAAGAUAUUGUAACACCGACGGCAAGCCGUACACUUCAAGCGUUGUCGAUGGAGCACC